AAAAAAAAAAAAACAAACAAAGCAAACACACAGCAUACGUGCAAUUUUGGUUGCAAAUUGCUUUAUAAUUUUAAAAUAUUUUUUUUCCGUUUUGUUUUUGUUAUUGUUGGUUUUGCCUGCAAUCAAAUACUGAAUUGGAUUUGGUGUGCGUGUGUGUGUGAGCGUGUAUGUGUGAGGAGUGCGCGUGUUUUUUAACUUUGGCACAAGUGGUCGAAUUUUAAAGCGUUAAAUGUCUCUGAACGUCUGUUUAAACCUCGUCGAUAAACGCAAAAUUUGUUUCAAAUAAGCGCGCACAAAUACAAGCACACAAGGAACGAUUCGAAUACGCCUGUUGAUUGAAAUGCAACACGCGCAACGCAAAAACAAUUCCAACAA